CUGCUCCAUCUCUGGAUGAUAAUGACACCGGAGAUGACUUCCUAGAAGAGCAAUUGCUAUCUCCUUAUAAAGUUUAUGACGAGGAAUACUGUCGACCACUACCGUGGGUAUACAUUGAUGGUUUAACAGAAAAGUAAUGGGUCAGCGCUAAAAAGUCAGUAGAAGCUAAAAAACAAAUGGGGAAGCAGCAACCUAUAAUAAUGAGGUUCCCUCUCUUAUCCUCAAAUAAAUGGACGAACAAAAGAAAAUAUAUAGGUUGCGCUAUAUGGUAAUAGAUGUAAGAGUAAAUGGGAUGAGACAAAUAU